GACAUGAAGUGCUUCUUCCCCGGCAGCUUGCAGAUGCUGGAGGCACAGCAGCGCCAGAUGCUUGCCACCGAGCUGAACCUCGGCUACCAACUGGCGCCGCCUGACACUGACGUUGCCAACAAUAACCCUCAGCAGUUCUAAACUGGAUCCAUGAGAAAGCCAACUGUGACCGAUGGAAGCUGGCUGUUGCCUCUAGAUGAUAUUGGCUUCCAUAACCUAGCUUAUUAUGGUGUGUAUUGUUGCCUUUUGUGUGUGAUUCUCCUUACUACUGAUGGAGAAUAAACCUAAUCGAUUGGGCAUAAUGAUCAAAUGCUACAGCACCCGUGAGGCUGUGAUCAGGACAUCAUGUUUGUUUUGAAUAGCACUUUUAUCUAUUACGAGGACUCUAGGCCUCAAUAUAUAGAGGUACAGGAGAUUACAAAUAUACACAAAACUCCUUAUACAAUGGGAAAAUACAAAUAAAGUAUAUAUAUCUCUAACGCCCGUGUCAAAUUCAAGGUGGAUCAAAAACACUAAGUUUGGAGAGAUAAAACACUACCAGACACAACUUCUUUAUCGAGUGCUCCGACAUUUGCCGAGUAUUCCGAGUUUUGUCAAGUGCCGCUCUCAUCAAACAAGAACCCUCGACGACAACGAUCUGGUUUACCGAGAGCCAAACACUAGACAACAAAAUACAGUCGGCUACAUCUUUGCCAAGUGUCCGGCUCUCGGCACAACAGCACACUCGGCAAAGCGCCGUCAGCAGCCGACGGUAGCUGACGGCCGUUAACUAUGCCCAAUACCCAGGGAAGACACUCGACAAAGUUAUGUAUUUGCCGAAUGUUAUGUGGACACUAGACAAAGAAUGCUUUUGCUAAGUAUCUUUUCUUUACACUCGGCAAAGAUUAUUUGUGUUUUUCUUUUUGCCCCAACUUUUUUAGUGUGUUCCUGCAAUCUAUGGUCCUACGUGUUCAAUUUUGACACAUUUAUCAAGGUGUUUGCUAUACCUAUUAGAUUUAGUUUAUUUAAUAGAAUUUAUUCGGAUAAUUCAAAUUUGAACUGCAACUCACUCGAAAAAUGGAAAACAAUAAAUGUAAAAACGAUAUUCAUGUUAUUGAGCACAAGUUAUGCCUUAAUUUAGGAACAUACUAGAAAUUUCAAACACCAUGUUCAUGAAACAUGACCAUAAACUUGCGAUCCAGUUGUUUUAAAAUUGUAUAAAAUACAAGCAAAGUCAAAAAAAUCGUGAAAUUUAUCGAGAUGUCAUGAUAUCAUAUGUAGAGGUUAUGAUAAAAAUUUGUCAGUGUUUUGUGAAAGAUGUCACAUACAGUGUGUACAAAUACAGGAAUCUACGUAAAACUUUCAUGAUUUCAUGUGAAGGUCGCAUAAGUUUGUACAUAUAGUAUGCGAUAACUUUUUUUAAAAUGCUCUCAAUUUUUAUCAUAUUCUCUAGAUAUGGUAUUAUGACAUCUCGAUAAGUUUCAUGAUUUUCCGACUUCGUUUGUGUUUUAUACAAUUUUAAAACAACUAGAUCACAAGUUCACACGGACAUGUUUCAUGAACAUGAUGUUCGAAAUUUAUGGUAUGUUCUUGAAAGGUCGUAACUUAUGUUCCAUAACAUGAAUAUCAAUUUUGCAUUCGUUGUUUUCCAUUAUUCGAGUGACUUGCAAUUUAAAUUUGAAUUAUUCGAAAAAAUUCAAUUAAUGUACUAAAUCUAAUAGAUGUAGCAAACACUUCGACAAAUGUGCCAAAAUUUAACAUGUAGGUCCAGGUACUUUAAAAACAUAGUAGAAAAAUUUUGGGGGAAAAACAAAAAAAUAAAUCGGUCUCCAAGUUGUUUGGCAGCAGUAUAGAUAGUCACCCACCCCCUCCAAAAAUUGUUGCUCCCGAAGGAUACCCUAUUUUUGAGCAAACAUGCGGGUUUCUUCAACUUGCUCGACGGUCAUCGUUUUUGCGAACACAAGGUUGACUUGUCCCUUGUGGUUCGGGUUGAUGAUGGGUGAUUGUCAACGGGGUAGCACUCUGUGGUAGUUAGUGGAAUGACCAGAGUGUGAGAUUAUGCUUGUGCGACCAUGUUGGUCGAAUUGUGGUGUGCAGGUGUGGAGCACAGGAAAGGUGGUCGAUGACUGAGGUGAAGGUAAUGCGGUCUCGCGCUGGUGGACCGGGAGCAGUGAAGGGUGAGUGCUGGGUCUUGACUGACAGAUCAGAGCAGCCAGGUGACCAACCGCAGUGGCUGACAUCUAGGACACACACUUGUACAAGGACGUGGUGGAGUGGACCGUAUUGCUGGCGUGGUCGAGGACUGGCGGGAUACGCGUCUAAUCGUGGAGGACGUGCACGAGGUGCGGUGCUCACGGCAGAAUUGGUGGUUUGGGCCUCAAAACCACCCAGCGCUAUGGAUGCCUGGUUUUGCUGAGUUUGGGCCUCAAAACUUGGCGGUGGUGGUUCCGGAGGGAACUGGUGGCGGCACGCGGCGUGAUCGCGGAGGGUGCUGUAACACCCCAGGUGUUACUUAGGGUUUUCACUCAAGACUACACAAGUAAAGCCCAUCAUCACAUGUGACUUAAGUUGAGGAAAGUACACCAAACUUGGAGAUCAAGAUCCUAAGUAAGUGCAACCCUUCUUGAAGUCAUGCUUUGGCUUUAUCAUGCACAUAUAGUGAGGAAUUGCCCAAACCCUAAUUCAAACCCCUUUUGAACAUUUGGAGCACUAGAAGUGAGUAUGACCAAAAGGCUGUGAAAACCACAUGAUCAUGACUUGGGCCAAUUAUAAAAGAUGUAGUACACUUAAUACCCUACAAAAAAUAGUCAGAAGGUGACCCCAAAAAGGUUUCAGAAAAACCCCAAAAGGUUCACCAAAGGGUUAAGCAUAAAAGGAAAAAUCAGAAUUUUUCUAAGUCCAAAACCAACCCCUUCCAAAGAUCAAACAUGUUAACCCUUUUUCAAACUUCAAAACCAUUUGACCCAAUUGACAAAGUGGCGCCUAAAGACCUCUAGAACACCCUGGAAAAGUUUGAACCCAACCCUAAGUCGUUUGACACGACUUGGCACAAGUUUUGUCUCGGUGUGGACAGCUCUGACAGAGCUGACUUCCCACCCCCAUAUCUCUCAAACCCGACCACAUCUCCCCUUGGAACUCACAUGAACUAGGUAUCCCUAGGUGGAGGGAAGAGAUCUCUCAAAGGUCUUAGGGCAAGAUUCGCACGUUUGGCUGCUCAGCAAGGGGUAGAACAAGAGCAGAAACAAAGAGCCACGUGUUCGACGCGCCCUGAGCUCGCCAGAGCACGCCCGCCCCCCGCCCCCGCGUGCCUCGCGUCGCGCCAAGCCGAGCCGACGCCGUUGCCCGCGCCCACGCCCGCGCCUAUAAAGCCACCAGAGACUUCGACCGUACUCCUCCGCACGCGCUCGACCUCACCGGAGCACUAGAUCACCGGCGUUGCCCGCGCACGGCGUGCCCGCGGCCGCCCGAUCCCCCGCCACCGUAGACCGGCCAGCAGAGCCUCUCCCAACCCCGUUCAACCCACGGAAUAGACCCUACGUGCCUCGGUGAAGCUCCCCGAGCGAGGAAUCAAACUUUGCCUCGCCGUAGAAGCCAGUUCACGGUCGCCAGACUUCACCCGACCGCUGGCAAGCGUGGACCGAGCGCCAAGGUAAGCCAUUCUCCGAUUNNNNNNNNNNNNNNNNNNNNNNNNNNNNNNNNNNNNNNNNNNNNNNNNNNNNNNNNNNNNNNNNNNNNNNNNNNNNNNNNNNNNNNNNNNNNNNNNNNNNUAUAUAGACAUCUAGCCUCUUGAAGUUAAAGAAAAAGUAGAAAACUCAUAAUCUUGAGAACUAUACAUGCAAUCUACGGUAGCUGAACAUUUUGUCUUGUCAGAUUGAGGAGGGAGAGCAACAGCUGCAGCAGGUGACUGUGGCCCAGUCUGUCGCAGCAGCAGCGGCCACCGACGUGGAGCUGAAUCCGUUCUUGGAGAUGGAUACCAAAUGCUUCUUCCCUGGCGGCCCCUUCGCGACACUGGACAUGAAGUGCUUCUUCCCCGGCAGCUUGCAGAUGCUGGAGGCACAGCAGCGCCAGAUGCUUGCCACCGAGCUGAACCUCGGCUACCAACUGGCGCCGCCUGACACUGACGUUGCCAACAAUAACCCUCAGCAGUUCUAAACUGGAUCCAUGAGAAAGCCAACUGUGACCGAUGGAAGCUGGCUGUUGCCUCUAGAUGAUAUUGGCUUCCAUAACCUAGCUUAUUAUGGUGUGUAUUGUUGCCUUUUGUGUGUGAUUCUCCUUACUACUGAUGGAGAAUAAACCUAAUCGAUUGGGCAUAAUGAUCAAAUGCUACAGCACCCGUGAGGCUGUGAUCAGGACAUCAUGUUUGUUUUGAAUAGCACUUUUAUCUAUUACGAGGACUCUAGGCCUCAAUAUAUAGAGGUACAGGAGAUUACAAAUAUACACAAAACUCCUUAUACAAUGGGAAAAUACAAA
rnacentral:lncRNA from 1 species